AGUGAACGCUGGCGGUAGGCCUAACACAUGCAAGUCGAACGGCAGCACAGUAAGAGCUUGCUCUUACGGGUGGCGAGUGGCGGACGGGUGAGGAAUACAUCGGAAUCUACUUUUUCGUGGGGGAUAACGUAGGGAAACUUACGCUAAUACCGCAUACGACCUACGGGUGAAAGCAGGGGAUCUUCGGACCUUGCGCGAUUGAAUGAGCCGAUGUCGGAUUAGUUAGUUGGCGGGGUAAAGGCCCACCAAGGCGACGAUCCGUAGCUGGUCUGAGAGGAUGAUCAGCCACACUGGAACUGAGACACGGUCCAGACUCCUACGGGAGGCAGCAGUGGGGAAUAUUGGACAAUGGGCGCAAGCCUGAUCCAGCCAUACCGCGUGGGUGAAGAAGGCCUUCGGGUUGUAAAGCCCUUUUGUUGGGAAAGUAAAGCAGCAGGUUAAUACCCCGCUGUUCUGACGGUACCCAAAGAAUAAGCACCGGCUAACUUCGU
rnacentral:rRNA from 1 species